rnacentral:lncRNA from 1 species
GUCCCCUCUUUUGUGUCUGAAGACAGCUACAGUGUGCUCAUGUACAUAAAAUAAAUUUUUUUAAAAAACGACCCAAGGUUGUUAAAAAGCGGUCCACAAAGUUUGUGGAGAAAGAGGGGGCCGUCUUCCCUGUGCUAAAGUACCUGAACACCCUGGGGUAGGGUGGUUGCCAAGGGGAGCAGCCAAUCAUCACUAGUGCCAGUCUUCACCAAAAGGCCUGCUGUGUACCAAGGGGAGAAAGUUAAACCUAAGUCGGUCACCGGGCAUAGAUGCAUUGGGAUAGCAGGUGCUUGCACAACCUCCUAGGACAAGGCUACCUGGGACGACCUUGAGAGCUCAUUGCUGGACAAGUGGACCUGAGCCACCCAAAUGACAGGCUCCCCAUGCUGAGCAUGAAAACUGAAGGCAGACAGUGGCUGGCAUGACACUUCUCAUCUGUAGUCCUGUUAGGAAAGAUGAGAACUUCCCUCUUGGUAUUCAACGCCCU